rnacentral:misc_RNA from 1 species
GCUCUCCCUCGCUGUCUUCGGCUUGCACCCCCGCGUUCCCCUCGCCAGCGUCACUGCGCGAUCUCGACUCCCCUGCCGUGUGUCCCCGUGUGUGCCUCCGCUGUGCCUCUCUCAGCGUUCCGCCGUGGGCCUUCGAAGAUGGCGUACCCGGUCGGUAUUAUUCUCUACGCGAUCCUCCAGUUCAUCGCGUUCCUCUUCGUGCUGGUCGGUACGCCGAUCGACAUGUUCCGUGGCACCACCAAGGACCUGUUCAACAUAUCACUGUGCAUAACCCUGUGGGGUUCAAAGUUCGAGUGCAAGACCAUCAUGUACGCCAUGCCCACCGACGACCAGUGGAAGUUUUGCCCGACCCGCCUCCAGCAUUUCCACAUAGCCGAGAUUUUGUCCAUCAUCUCCGUCUUCGUGUACGCCCUUGCGGCGCUGCUCGGCUUCAUUAUGCUGUGCUGCUGCUCUUUGCUCCGCUGGCUCUGCCUGGUGUUCAACAUCGCUGGCAUCAUCACGUUGGGCAUCACCUGGGGGUUCAUGGUGGUGGAGUACGGUAGGAAUGAGAGCAGGUUUUGCCCCCCUCUGCGGAAGGACUACAAGUUUGGGGUCGGCUUUGCUCUUUUCAUGGUGGCCUGGGUCCUGAAUCUCAUCGACAUUAUCUUCCUGAUGCUCCCGUGGCAAAUCGGAGAGUCCGGUAAGGGUGACGAACCGGAUGGGCAGGAGGAGGAGGAGGAGUCCAAAAAAGCAACGGAGGAGUAGGAGGGAGAGUGCCGCAGGAAGUGACGGGCAAACGUGGCGGCAGCGCGGCAGCUCCACGACGACGUCCUCGUGGAGGAGCCGGCGGAGCUGAUGCCGGCGGGAAAGACGGAGGGAGCGGAGGCUGCGGACGCUCGCCCCUGACUUUCGCCGGCAUCUCUCCCGCUCUCGCUCGCUGCCCUCUCGUGCGCGCGACCGCUUGCGGGCGUGUUCGCGGUUUCUCCCUCGCCUGCUUUCGUCUUCUCCUGCGUGUGUCCUUUGUGGAGCUUUCCGCCUCCCCCUUCGCUUCUGCCUUUUCGAUCUGCACAGCGAUCUGCGCGUUGUGGUGGGCAGCGCACCCUUGACGGCGACACGCCCAUCGAGGGCCCCCUCCCUCCCCCUCUGAGCCGUCGCCCUCGUUGCCUUCUCCAAAUCGCCUCCCCCUCACGCACACCGCAUGGACUCCUCAAACGGAGAGGUGGAGGGAGGGGGUGUGCGAGGUGCCACAGGUGUGGUGGUGGCAGGGGCAGGAGCCAAGGAGGCUCACGUGUAGGCGCAGCGGGAAGACAGGAGGGCGGCGUCCGUGCGCCCAGCGGCGACACACAGGUGCAUACGCAACGCUAAAGCGAGGCGAUUGCAGCUCUGGCUCCUGAUCUUUCCUUGCGCCCCAUGCACGGCCUACGUGUGUGCGCGCACACCCGCGCGCGCGCAGGUGCGUAGGAGGGGGCACCCCCUUCUUCAGCGAAUGCCCCUUCGGCGUCGCCCCUCCCUUGCUGCGGCGACUCCCCGCGCCCCUCGCGCCCACACGGAGAAGGCGGCACCACGACAGGGAAGCCGUCGGGCGCACUCUCGGUCCUCCGCGGGCCAACGACGCGGUCGGGGUGCGUGCGUGCGCGUGCCUCAAUAUAUGCGAAGUCUUUGUUAUCUCUUUGCCUUCCGUGUGUCGUUUCUUUUUUUUCGCUUCGCUUGUUUGUUUGGUGGCCUCAUCACACCGCCGAGUCCUCCAGACGCGGGUGUAGAGAGUGUCCACACCGUAUUACGGCAUGCCGCGGCUUGAAGCGAGUGAGCGAGAGGCGUGGCAUAUGCAGGCAGAGCACAGGGUCUCAAAGGGCCCUGGCCUGCGGCUGGCCAACGCGACCUCCUUGACGUCGUCCGGCAUGCACCUUGGCCACCGCCUGUUGCCCACACGACUGACGUCGCCGCUUCCGCCCUCGAGCAGGAGCCUGGACGCGGCCCGCCUGGACCGAGGCAUGCCGUCCGCCCGGGUCUCCGUCUGGCGCCGCAAGCGCCGCACGUACCCGAGGAAGGGACGAGCAAGGGCAAGAUGAGCCGGUCAGACGCAGGGCCCCCGGUUGAACGGCAGGCAGUGCGCCCUUGGCGGCCAGGAUGUUGCCGUGGUGCAACAGAGGCGUGCGAGCUGUGGUUGAAUGCGUAUAUUUGUCGACGUGUUCGUGGUGGAGCGAGGCGUAGAGGGGUGCCUCGCUGCCACGGGCGGACACGCAAAACGUCAAUAGCACAUAACAGCAAAACAGAAAAGGGGGAAUGCACGCGCGCGCGCACGCACGCGGACGACAAUGCAGACGUCCUCGAUUUUGCUUGCUCCUCCGACGGCUCCGCAUGCCGGCUCCGCCUGGGACGCCACGGCGUGUGUGCGUGUGUGCGUGCGCCCUUCCCCUUUUCCUUUCUUCCCUCGCCUUGUCUUUUGUUCUGUACGGUGCCUUCCUCG